AGGUGCGUUCAUACCAGCACUAAUGCACCGGAUCCCAUCAGAACUCCACAGUUAAGCCUGCUUGGGCGAGAGUAGUACUAGGAUGGGUGACCUCCUGGGUAGUCCUUGUGUUGUACCUC
rnacentral:rRNA from 2 species